UACGAAGGGGGCUAGCGUUGUUCGGAUUUACUAGGCGUAAAGCGCACGUAGGCGGAUAUUUAAGUCAGGGGUGAAAUCCCGGGGCUCAACCCCGGAACUGCCUUUGAUACUGGGUAUCUUUGAGUCCGGAAGAGGUGAGUGGAAUUCCGAGUGUAGAGGUGAAAUUCGUAGAUAUUCGGAGGAACACCAGUGGCGAAGGCGGCUCACUGGUCCGGUACUGACGCUGAGGUGCGAAAGCGUGGGGAGCAAACAGG
rnacentral:rRNA from 1 species